rnacentral:tRNA from 1 species
GAGGGGAUAGCUUGGUGGUAGAGUGUGGGCUUGGCAUGCCCAGCAUGCCUGGGCUCCUGGGUUCAAUCCCCAGUACCGCCA